UCCCUCUCAGAGUCGCAUUUGGAGAGUUUCCAGUACUCUACCAGUCUUGACUACAAGAGGGAGAGUCAAGCAGAGGCCUUCCCAUUCCUAGUUUGGGCAGUGACUAGCGAGUGGCAGGCAAUUUGCUACAAGU